rnacentral:rRNA from 1 species
GGUUACUGCUAUCGGUGUUCGCCUAAGCCAUGCGAGUCAUAUGUUCGUAAGAACAUGGCGUACUGCUCAGUAACACGUGGAUAACCUGCCCUUGGGUCCGGCAUAACCCCGGGAAACUGGGGAUAAUUCCGGAUAACGCACAUAUGCUGGAAUGCUUUAUGCGUAAAAUGGAUUCGUCUGCCCAAGGAUGGGUCUGCGGCCUAUCAGGUAGUAGUGGGUGUAAUGUACCUACUAGCCUACGACGGGUACGGGUUGUGAGAGCAAGAGCCCGGAGAUGGAUUCUGAGACAUGAAUCCAGGCCCUACGGGGCGCAGCAGGCGCGAAAACUUUACAAUGCGGGAAACCGUGAUAAGGGGACACCGAGUGCCAGCAUCCUAUGCUGGCUGUCCGGGUGUGUAAAAUACACCUGUUAGCAAGGGCCAGGCAAGACCGGUGCCAGCCGCCGCGGUAACACCGGCGGCCCGAGUGGUGAUCGUGAUUAUUAGGUCUAAAGGGUCCGUAGCCGGUUUGGUCAGUCCUCCGGGAAAUCUGACAGCUUAACUGUUAGGCUUUCGGAGGAUACUGCCAGACUUGGAACCGGGAGAGGUAAGAGGUGCUACAGGGGUAGGAGUGAAAUCUUGUAAUCCCUGUGGGACCACCUGUGGCGAAGGCGUCUUACCAGAACGGGUUCGACGGUGAGGGACGAAAGCUGGGGGCACGAACCGGAUUAGAUACCCGGGUAGUCCCAGCCGUAAACGAUGCUCGCUAGGUGUCAGGCAUGGCGCGACCGUGUCUGGUGCCGCAGGGAAGCCGUGAAGCGAGCCACCUGGGAAGUACGGCCGCAAGGCUGAAACUUAA